CCCUUAGAUGUUCUGGGCUGCACGCGCGCUGCACUGACAUACUCAGCAAGUUUCCUUGCCUGAAAGGGUUGGGUAAUCUUGUUAGUGUAUGUCGUGAUGGGGAUAGAAUAUUGUAAUUAUUGCUCUUUAACGAGGAAUUCCUAGUAAGCGCAAGUCAUCAGCUUGCGUUGAUUACGUCCCUGCCCUUUGUACACACCGCCCGUCGCUCCUACCGAUUGGGUGAUCCGGUGAAUGAUUCGGACUCUGGCUAUGCUAGCUACUAGCUACGUCAGGGAAAGUUUUGUGAACCUUAUCACUUGGAGGAAGGAGAAGUCGUAACA
rnacentral:rRNA from 1 species